AUGGAUGGGGCGCAGCCUGAUCCAGCCAUGCCGCGUGUGUGAAGAAGGCCUUUUGGUUGUAAAGCACUUUAAGCGAGGAGGAGGCUACUUGGAUUAAUACUCUAGGAUAGUGGACGUUACUCGCAAAAUAAGCACCGGCUAACUCUGUGCCAGCAGCCGCGGUAAUACAGAGGGUGCGAGCGUUAAUCGGAUUUACUGGGCGUAAAGCGUGCGUAGGCGGCUUUUUAAGUCGGAUGUGAAAUCCCUGAGCUUAACUUAGGAAUUGCAUUCGAUACUGGGAAGCUAGAGUAUGGGAGAGGAUGGUAGAAUUCCAGGUGUAGCGGUGAAAUGCGUAGAGAUCUGGAGGAAUACCGAUGGCGAAGGCAGCCAUCUGGCCUAAUACUGACGCUGAGGUACGAAAGCAUGGGGAGCAAACAGGAUUAGAUACCCUGGUAGUCCAUGCCGUAAACGAUGUCUACUAGCCGUUGGGGCCUUUGAGGCUUUAGUGGCGCAGCUAACGCGAUAAGUAGACCGCCUGGGGAGUACGGUCGCAAGACUAAAACUCAAAUGAAAUUGACGGAUCG
rnacentral:rRNA from 1 species